rnacentral:rRNA from 1 species
AGGUGGCGGCGGGCUUAACAAGUGCAAGUCGAACGAAGAACCACUUCGGUGGGGAUUAGUGGCGAACGGGUGAGUAACACGUGGGUAAUCUGCCCUUCACUCUGGGACAAGCCCUGGAAACGGGGUCUAAUACCGGAUAUCACUUGCGCAGGCAUCUGUGCGGGUUGAAAGCUCCGGCGGUGAAGGAUGAGCCCGCGGCCUAUCAGCUUGUUGGUGAGGUAACGGCUCACCAAGGCGACGACGGGUAGCCGGCCUGAGAGGGCGACCGGCCACACUGGGACUGAGACACGGCCCAGACUCCUACGGGAGGCAGCAGUGGGGAAUAUUGCACAAUGGGCGCAAGCCUGAUGCAGCGACGCCGCGUGAGGGAUGACGGCCUUCGGGUUGUAAACCUCUUUCAGCAGGGAAGAAGCGCAAGUGACGGUACCUGCAGAAGAAGCGCCGGCUAACUACGUGCCAGCAGCCGCGGUAAUACGUAGGGCGCAAGCGUUGUCCGGAAUUAUUGGGCGUAAAGAGCUCGUAGGCGGCUUGUCACGUCGGGUGUGAAAGCCCGGGGCUUAACCCCGGGUCUGCAUUCGAUACGGGCAGGCUAGAGUGUGGUAGGGGAGAUCGGAAUUCCUGGUGUAGCGGUGAAAUGCGCAGAUAUCAGGAGGAACACCGGUGGCGAAGGCGGAUCUCUGGGCCAUUACUGACGCUGAGGAGCGAAAGCGUGGGGAGCGAACAGGAUUAGAUACCCUGGUAGUCCACGCCGUAAACGGUGGGAACUAGGUGUAGGCGACAUUCCACGUCGUCGGUGCCGCAGCUAACGCAUUAAGUUCCCCGCCUGGGGAGUACGGCCGCAAGGCUAAAACUCAAAGGAAUUGACGGGGGCCCGCACAAGCAGCGGAGCAUGUGGCUUAAUUCGACGCAACGCGAAGAACCUUACCAAGGCUUGACAUACACCGGAAAGCAUUAGAGAUAGUGCCCCCCUUGUGGUCGGUGUACAGGUGGUGCAUGGCUGUCGUCAGCUCGUGUCGUGAGAUUAUGGGUUAAGUCCCGCAACGAGCGCAACCAUCGUCAUGUGAUGGCAGCGUGACCUUCGUGUUGACUGGUACUCCAACGACAGUACCGACCGGAUCAAUCGGAUUACGUAUGAGUAACGACGUUACGUACAUCGAUGCGCCCAUUAAGUUCCUG